UUCCGAUGGCCUUUUCCGGCACGACACUGGGCAGGGGAGCGGAGGGAUGGGCUUGGGUGCCUGUCACGCACACGAGGCUCCAGCCACAAAUCACGGUCUCGGCAUGGGGUAGCCCCUGCCCUGUUGGAAAUGUGAAUUGCAGGGGUGAGUGCUAAUGACAUGGUUAUCCAUCAAGCCCACAUUACGAUGCUGUUAGCAACUAAUUAACAAAUACAAUCAGCCCGCCAAACUUCCACAAAGGAAAGCCUAUCAACAAGAGAAAAGCCGUAAAGAGUCAGGCGAGGCAAAGUUCACCACAAUGGAAGCGGGAAAUCGUUUCCAAUAAGGGAAAGGGACGAGCCGUUCAGAUAGUCAGAAUAAAGUCGGAGCGGUUGUGCAAGCCGAGAAAGGAGGAGGCGCUGGAAACGUUACCAGCAAGCGAUCAUGCCCCAUAUCAAAGCCGGUUUUCUUCAUUAUAUCCCUCCCGACCGAUACCAUGAAAUACAUCACUCGUUUAGAUAUGGGAGCCGACCUCUGGAGGACGACUAGCGCGGAGCACUUUGAUGUUGAGAGACAGAUUUCAAAUGACAGAAAGCCCCUUCCAUGUUUCUAAUCACCCCACGCCAGGGGCCUGCCGCUGAUGCGGGGCGAGGCAGGCGGGAUGCUCGGCCGGGCCAGGCGGGGCUGGCAGCCUCCUUAAACCGCGCUGCCAGGAAAGCCAACACGGGCGCAUAAACAGAGCUACCGACUAAAGUCAACAGCGAGCUGCAGCCUCCAGCAAACAGCCCGCGCCGGCGUGGAAACGGAGCAAAAGCGUUUUCUGCAUCCCCAGCUGCACCUCCGCCCCCCCACCCCCCUACCCCACCCCCCCCGACGAAGGAGGCUUAGGAGUAGCCGAUACCUGCUCCCCCAGCCAAGGCUUUUUUGCAAGACGGUGCGCUGAAAGCAUUACAGACCUUGCUAACACUUCUGCUCACGUGCAAGCCUUUUAUCUCGGCAGCGCAGUUGGAAAAGCUGAAUCACCGCGGAGGGAGUGAGGACUGAAGGGUAUUUUUUCAUAUGCAACAGGCUGCUCUUUAUUUGAUCUUCACAGUCCCUAUUUCUAUCAAUAUUCCUAAAGCUGAGGGAUCAAACACGGAAAAAUUAAAACCAUGCUACCACGCUAAACAAGAUUAAGAUGGUGGCAAUAUAUUGACUGCUCCUUGGGGAAAUAACCUUGUUGCUGCAGGAGCCGAGGCUGUUCUGGAGGCAAAGGUUGUGUUUCAGGACCGGGCGACAGGAAAGAGGUUUGAGAGUCUGCAUCCCAACCCGGCCAGCAGCAGCAUCAAGCACCCAUGCUCCUGUCCCCCUCUGCGCUCCCAGCCCAGCAGGAUGGGCAUCGCUGGUCUAUGGAGUCAAUGAACUCUGCCAAGCUAAGCAUAACGAUCCCUGCUUUUACAUCCACAAGGAGGCAUCUUCAAGUGAGUCCCACUGUUGGUCUCAAGGGAUUUUGACUCCCAGCCUAAAAAUGGAGUCCCACAUUUUCAACCGUGGACAGCUUCGAGAUCUCACUUAAAAACCACAACUGGAAAUAUGUCUGGGGGAGCUGUAAUCCUUCAGAGCUUCUGCUGGGGAAGUUUGUUCCUCCAGAAGUGCUUUGCACUCACAUCGCUCCCCCUUUGACACUUAAGAGUUAAUUUUUUUUAGAGGACUUCAUAACCUUUUGAAUUCCUGGCCACCUGUUCUGGCUGCUUAUGCAGAAGGAGAGCUUUUUUUGGAAAGCCCAGCCUCAGCCGUGAGGCCAGAAGUCCCUUGAAAACGCAAGUCCAUGUCCUGCAUGCCUUUUCGCUGAGGGAUCCUCCAUAUCCAACCUCUCCGUCAUUCCUUGCUUUGCCAAGGUCUUGUCGGCUCUCAGGGCAGGGUGGAAAGCCUCUCUUUCCUCAGGGAUGUGGGGCCAGUGACAGGCCCCUGCACAUGCAUAUUUUGUAGCCUUUUGUAAGUUUUCUUACAUGGCAAAAUCUUUGUAGUGCUUUUUACUUUAAACAAGAUCUCUUUUUUUGAUGUUGUUUCUUCCUUUUCUCUCAGGAAACCCACUCCCUUGUACAUCUGAAGCAGGCUGAGAUGCAGCCAAUUGUAUUAGUUCUGGCUGGAGCAAAAAUGCAUAAUGAAACACUGGAUGUGUGGUGUGAGUCCAAAAUAAAUGGUCACUAGCAGAGCCAGCAAAAACCUGCAAGCACAGACAGUCUGCAAAAAGUAAAAAGCUUGGACUCUACCUGCGGCAACGGGAAAAAUGAGCUCGGGGUUCAGAGAGCUUGCUUGGGAAGAGACACUGGGGUACCCUGCCUCUUUGAUUAUAUGUGUGAAUUGUGAUGAUUCUUGCAUUUUUUUUGUGAAUACAGCAUCUGUAAGUGGGAGAAGGUGUUUUAUCUCCUAACCUGUAUUCUCAAAGCACUGCAGUUUGGUUUUUAUGUGCCAGAUGUCAGCGUGCCCUGAUUCUUCAGGCAGUUGGGAUUAAAGCUUCCCUGUAUCAGAGAGGUGUUACAAGGAUAACCCCAUUAACGCGUGUGGAAGUCUGGUCCUAAAGCGAUAAAGACCCUGUAAAUAUUUACACAGACAGCUGAGCUCAUGGAAAUUUUGCCUUAUUAGCCCCACCUCAUUAUAAGGAAGUCGUUGGGAAAGUCAGCAGUAUAUUACAUUCUCUUUUAUUUUUAAUUAAACAUCGACAACAUAUCUGGUGCUGCUUCACACCGCAAGAUUCAGAGGGUCACUGGUCUAAAUAUUUCACAGUCUGCAGGGAAAUAUCAAGUCUCAAGCAAAGGAAAAAAGUAACAUAGCUGCUACAAGAAUAAAUCUUGCCAGUCAGGCCUUUUAUACUUUUAAGAGUUACUAAAAUAGUGGGUAAAGAACAACCAGGGGAUAUAAUUUAUUUGGACAUUCAAAAGCCUUUUGAUAAACACACAUACAAGAAACUGUUAAGGAAACCUGGUAACCACAAAGUGAGAGGUAAAGUGCUGUCAUGGAUUAAAAUCUGGUUAUAAAUGGGUAUGGAAUAAAUGGCCAAUUCUAGUAGGGAAAGAGAUUAAUAAUGAGGUGCCCUAGAGAGCAGGACUCAGACCAAUAUUGUUUAAUGCUUUAUUAAUAACCUGGGGGUGAAUAGUGAUGUGGCAAAAAUUGAUGUCAGUAGAAAAGUACUUAGCUUAGGUCAGGAGCAACUUCAGAAGAGUUUAAUAAAUUGGCGGGACCGUGUGCAGAAGCGUGAGGGCAGCUUGGAAUACACCUUCAAAACCUACAGCAGUGCUCCUGCUCCUCCUGGCAUGCGGGCACUGGCGAAAGGACAGGGCCUGUUCCACCUGUCUGCAAAAGUGAGGGUAUUUAGCUGAGGGCAGGCAAAUGCUUCCAAGCAUCUCAAGUACUUUUUCAUGCCUCCUGGUUGCUGCCCAGCUCCCCUAGUUAGUUAUGCCAGGAGGAAAGACUGAGCUGCCAUAGGGCAGACCCCUCUAUCAGCCUGUGACUAAUAGCCCUGCAAGCUCCUCCAGUAAUUGUUUAAAAAAGCUGCUGUGAGUUCCCAUGGCUGAUUCUUCCCUGCGGACAUGCCAAAGGCUCUAGGUCACCUCUCACAAGCAUUUCAAAAAUUACGUGUUUGGUCUGAUGAGAGUGACAUGGCCGCAAGCCUCAAGCCCUCUUAGUCUAAGAAUGCAAGCUCCUGGGUGCUGCCUGGCACCUGGAAAAGCAAAACCUGCCAGCACAGCUGGGGUGCAAAAAGCUAUUUGCAAAUAAUAGUCACUUCAUCUAGUGUGUAAUGGGGUAAAGGCACAGGCAGCUGCCUGAACUUACUGCCAUGGAGUAUUUAGGUGAGUUGUUUACGCUGUGGCUUUUUCUUCCUACUGAUUUCACUCGCAGUGUAACUGUGUCUUGCUGUACCUUGUUGAUGUGAACGGCAGCAUCGUGACCUGGCGCAGGCCUGAAUUUACAUUGCAAGCUCUUUAUUUGAGCCUGAUACGUGGAGAAAUGUACUUACCAGCAGUCUGGACAACAUUUGGUGGUAUCUUUGUAAUCUCAUUGCUGCCAGCCCUCUGUUCCAACUGUUCUGUCUUCUCCACAGUGCCAUCCAAACUUGGCACAGGCUCCCAUGGCUUUUGAAGGUAAUGACAUUCAUGGAAAUUCAAAUGGCUGUUUUUCACAGGGAUUUAUUAUUGUUUUGUUUUUACCCAGUGGGUCAUUUCCAAGGAUACUAUUCUGGAAAAGAAAGCAACUCAUAAAGAAAGAUUUUAAAAAAUCCUCUUGA